rnacentral:rRNA from 1 species
UACGUAGGCAGCGAGCGUUGUUCGGAAUUACUGGGCGUAAAGAGUGUGUAGGCGGUGCUCCCAGUCUGUUGUGAAAUCUCCCGGCUUAACUGGGAGGGUGCAGCGGAAACUAGAGUGCUAGAGGGUGGGAGAGGUAAGCGGAAUUCCUGGUGUAGCGGUGAAAUGCGUAGAUAUCAGGAGGAACACCUGUGGCGAAAGCGGCUCACUGGACCAUUACUGACGCUGAGGCACGAAAGCUAGGGGAGCAAACAGG